UAGAUUGAAGCCCGCUGGGUUGGGCGUUUAGUUGUUAACUAAAAUGUCGUGGGAUUGAGGCCCACCAGUCUAG
rnacentral:tRNA from 1 species